CUAGAUUUGAAGGUUGAUCUCAUGUGUCAACUCAGAGGGUGUUUUUGGGUGAGAUUACCAUUUAAAUCAGUGAACUUUGAGGAAGCUGAUUGUCCUCCAUAAUAUGGGUGGGUCUCAUCCAGUUAGCUGAAACCCUGAAUAGAACAAUAAGACUAGCCUCCAAGAUUAAGAGAUAAUUCUGCAGUAGACUGCCUUCAGACUUCUCUUAUGCCAUUGGCUCUCCUGGGUCUCUGCCUGCCAGCCUUUGGACUGGAACUGCACCAUCGGCUCUCCUGGGUUUCUAGCUUGCUGGUUCACACUGCAGAUUUGGACUUGCCAGCCCCCGUAAUUAUGAAACAAUCAUGAAAGAAAUAGCUCCAUGGUUACCCAAGUCUGAUUCACGAAGCAAGUGCCAUCACUUUUGUGCUACUUAAGCAUCAGCUGACCUGGCAAGGAUGACUUUUCAAGGCUUUGAACAUUUGCUUCUUAAUGCACACAUGCACACAACCUUCCAAUCAGAAGCUUCCCAAAGCCUCAAAAGCAAGUAGAAUGGAGAUAAAUGGGCUUCUCUACAGACAAAUAAAAGGACCAGAGAAGCCUUCCUCAGAUUCAUACUAGAACUGGUUCCAGGGCCAAUUUUACAAAGUCGCAAGGGGGACUUUUUCAGUGACUCCAGUGAAUAAGUGGAAUCUCUUCUGAUCUUGAAGGAUGAUGUUGAUGAAAGCCCAGUGAAAAUCAUAUUGUAAAAUAUCUAACUGAAACUAUUCUUUUCUAGUCACUGUCAGUGCCAUUAUAGUGAUACCUAACACUUAUUUAUAUAAUUAAAGAAAUGUAUAUAUAGCAUUCACCAAGUACUAGAUUGUUUGCUAAGUGCUUUAUAAAUACCUACUCACUUAAUUCUUAUACCAACCCUAUAAUUAGGUAUAAUUAUUAUGUAUCUCUUCUAGAUAAGGAAACUGAGAUACAAAAAGGUUAAUUAAAUUUUCCAAAGUCACACAGGUAGUAAGUUGUGAAAUUGGGAUUCAAAACCAUGCAGUUUGAAACAAUGAACUCUGAGGAAGCCUAUGCUAUAUUGAUGUUCAUAUCAGCCAG
rnacentral:lncRNA from 10 species